GUGCACUUGAUGCCCAUAUGAAUCCUUUGAGAUAAGCGGGGCCCAGGAUCCUUGAGCCUGAAGAAGACUGAUCUCUGUUUUGAAGACUGUUAAGGCCCAGUCAACUUGAAAUCUGGAGAUUUCUGGAGAAUUCUGCCCCUAUCCCCAGAGAAUUUACUCCAAGGGAAGUUCCAGACUCAGCCCUUUAAGACUGAACAGGAUUCCAGUCCAGGUGGCAUUAUAGAUCUAAUAAUAUAGAGAAGAAAAGCCUCCAGAGGAGUUAGGAUAUAAAAUAUUAACUUGCUGGUAAAAUAUAAAAAGUAGAAGAGAAAGUUGGUCCACUGAAGGAUGAUGUGUUCCUCAAAGCAUCUGAGACAGAUAAACAUCUGUGCUUCAUAUCGUGUCCUGGGCACACUGCUACUGAGCUGCUAUCAAAUGGCUUUCCCUCCAUCUGUCGAUUUCAGAGGUAAUACUUGAUUAAAAUUUAAAAAAAAAACAGAUCAAUCAAACCUUGACUUCUCG
rnacentral:lncRNA from 1 species